CCUACGGGAGGCAGCAGUGGGGAAUAUUGCACAAUGGGGGAAACCCUGAUGCAGCGACGCCGCGUGAGUGAAGAAGUAAUUCGUUAUGUAAAGCUCUAUCAGCAGGGAAGAAAAUGACGGUACCUGAGUAAGAAGCCCCGGCUAACUACGUGCCAGAAGCCGCGGUAAUACGUAGGGGGCAAGCGUUAUCCGGAUUUACUGGGUGGAAAGGGAGCGUAGACGGCAGUGCAAGUCUGGAGUGAAAGGCGGGGGCUCAACCCCCGGACUGCUCUGGAAACUGUACGGCUGGAGUGCAGGAGAGGUAAGUGGAAUUCCUAGUGUAGCGGUGAAAUGCGUAGAUAUUAGGAGGAACACCAGUGGCGAAGGCGGCUUACUGGACUGUAACUGACGUUGAGGCUCGAAAGCGUGGGGAGCAAACAGGAUUAGAUACCCCAGUAGUC
rnacentral:rRNA from 1 species